rnacentral:rRNA from 1 species
UGCAGUCGAACGAACCUUCGGGUUAGUGGCGGACGGGUGAGUAACGCGUGAGAAUCUGCCCUCAGGAGGGGGAUAACGGCUGGAAACGGCCGCUAAUACCCCAUAUGCCGAGAGGUGAAACGAAUUUCGCCUGAGGAUGAGCUCGCGUCUGAUUAGCUAGUUGGUGGGGUAAGAGCCUACCAAGGCUUCGAUCAGUAGCUGGUCUGAGAGGAUGAUCAGCCACACUGGGACUGAGACACGGCCCAGACUCCUACGGGAGGCAGCAGUGGGGAAUUUUCCGCAAUGGGCGAAAGCCUGACGGAGCAACGCCGCGUGAGGGAUGAAGGCCUCUGGGCUGUAAACCUCUUUUAUCAAGGAAGAAGAUCUGACGGUACUUGAUGAAUAAGCCACGGCUAAUUCCGUGCCAGCAGCCGCGGUAAU